rnacentral:lncRNA from 1 species
AGUGAAUCAUAGAAUAUUAAGCACUACACCAUGACUUAAGAUUAGAAUUCAAGGAGACCUAUUGAGAAUAGAUUUCUUGUAGGCUUUGUGAUGACCAGGAGGAUUAGCGCUAUUUUUCCAAGACAGGUUUAUAUGUGUAUGAUCUUCAGGCUUUGCCUAUCCAGGUGGGCUUACUUUCCAAAUGUAUAAAGUAUGAUUGAGUUAUUAAGCUCUAAAUGUUUCAAUGAAAUGCAAAUUGUUUAUUCUAUUAAAUGCAAACUGUUUAUCCAAUAAAAUAUUUUGUGCACUCUGCUCCGUUUAAGGCUCGCAACAAUGAAUCGAUCGAGGUUCUCUCUUGACCUAACACGUUAUUUGAGAAUUGUGUACACCUAUUAGCUGACCUGGUGGGUUGAUCUCCAUCGGGCACUAAUCAUGUAUGAGGCGUUAUAAGGGUGCUCGACGGGAUGUGUUCCGGAGCAUUGGGUCCCAAAUGGGAGCUUGGCUGGGUUACGCCCUCAGUCCAAGUAAAGCAGGAGUAAUGGAUCCGUCGGUGGCUAAAAGGUCCGGGGAUCACAGCGAG